UCAGGCCAAUGUCAAGUAAACUACUACAGAAACACUGAUGGGCAAAGCUUUCCACAGACUCAGCUUGCGCCUAGAGGGAUCUAAUAUUUCUUAAUGAAGCCAAGUCAGAGUGAAAAGGAGAGGGUGGCAGCACUGGCUUCUCUGAACAUCACUGCAGUUUAUCUGGUCAACACUCCUUCACACACAAAACGAGGCACGUGCAGAAGCCACAGAGGGGCAGCUGUUUGCUCAAGGGAGCCCCAGAAUCCAGACGGAUCCCAUCGGAUCAUAGCUUACAGGUCUCAAAGGACCUCCCCACAGACGAUGCACUGAUUUCAGAAACAAAUAGUGAGUUCACAAUGGAGAACCAGGCAGACAACUGCUUACCCAGGUCACAGUUAUGUCACCACCAUCCGGAUUGUGACGUUCCAGCAUCAGCUGCCUCCUGAUGUGAUGGCACCAGGACAGCAGCGUUUCUGCCAAAACCCAGAAGCCACAUCUAGUCACAAAGCAACAUCAGACAAACAAAUGGAGCGACAUCUUAUAAAGGGGCAGCCUGGCUUUCUUCAAACACAUCCAGCGCGAGGAGGAGGAGAAGCUCCCUGGACUAACUCCAGUCUGCAGCUGGGGUUAAUAAUCCUGAGGUAGGGCUGUUACACCUUGGAAAAAUGAAGAGGAAGCAGUAUAUAGUAAGUAAAGAAAAAAUGAAGAAAGUCUUCAUGGGGAAAACCCGGAAAGUCAAAGGUGUUAGGUAGGACUAUAAGAGACUGAGAAUAUCUCCGUAUCUGCCUGAUGGCUUAAUUCUGAAGGGCCACCUCUUCUGGGAAGCCUUCCAUGCUUACCUCAUCUGAAAUAGCAAACUUCUCACUCCUCACCAACCCUACUUCCAUCGUUCUGCGUUCUGCUUGAGUUCCUUCCUCCUCCUCAUCACUAUCUGACAUUGGACGGUUGUCUUUGUUUGGUUACUGCUUUGUCUUCAGGUGGCUGGUGGUGAAUCUUUCCCAGAAGAUAGACUACAAGAUGGAAGGAAUGUAUCCUUUCGUCACUACUUAUCUCUAGAGUCUAGAGAAGAGCCUGAAACCUAGUAAUUCAAUGAAAUUAGGAACAAAUAACUGGUACAAGUCCAAAAAUACUUCUACAGAUUCAUCCCUACAAAUGAAUCCAUUUUCCAUAUAUUAACAAACAAAAGAAAGCAUAGAAAUUUCUCUUUUCUGCUAAAAAUACAUCUUUUAUUUAUAAAUACGCCAAGCCUCACGCCAAUUAUUUUUUAGUGU